ACACAGACGUCCUUACUCCAAAAUGAAAAAAAUUGGUGUUAAUGGAGAACCCCACCUUUGUUUAUUUGCCCUGGAUGACAUCAAAGAAGGAGAAGAAAUCGCCUAUAACUAUAGAGGUGAAGACUGCCCAUGGCAAACACAGACGACCAGCAUCACUGUUAACACCAUGGAGGAGGAUGAUUCAGAUCCUGUCCACUCAGAGAGUCUGAUGGCUUGUGCCUUUGGGCCAAAGACACCACCUGAAGAGGUACAACUGCCCAAAAGAAGAAAACACCCUGGAAGGAGACAGACGUGAAGGCAGUGGAAAGGCACAUGAAUCGAUUCAUCACAUCUUGUAUUGCUCCAGCAAAGUUUGACUGUGAGAAGUGUUUAAGGGCUGAUCCAGAAGCUCUUAAGGACCGGAGCUGGCAGAAUGUGAAAUUCUACAUAUAUAACCGCAUUACAGCCAACAAGAGGAAAUUAAGUAAAUAAUGGGAAGAUUACCACCAGUAAGCGGUUGCUAUGUGGUUGUCUGAAAUUAAAAAUAUCUUACAAAUUUGA